rnacentral:rRNA from 1 species
UACGGAGGGAGCUAGCGUUGUUCGGAAUUACUGGGCGUAAAGCGCGCGUAGGCGGCUUUGUAAGUUAGAGGUGAAAGCCCGGGGCUCAACCCCGGAAUUGCCUUUAAGACUGCAUCGCUAGAAUCCAGGAGAGGUGAGUGGAAUUCCGAGUGUAGAGGUGAAAUUCGUAGAUAUUCGGAAGAACACCGGUGGUGUAGACGGCUCACUGGACCGUAACUGACGCUGAGACACGAAAGCGUGGGUAGCAAACAGG